GAAACGUCUCCUGAAAGCUGGCGCAUCUUCCUUUGCUUGUCUAGGAUGUAUUUAGGAAACUGGGCCACUACAGUGAAUCGAAGGACCCAGGGUCUUGAGCAUGCUGGUAUAAAAAGAGCUUAGUGGCUCAUGUGUCAAAGGAUGGCUUGGUCACAAUCUCGAUCCCCCAGGUGGAAACACAGAUCUUUAUCACCAGUACCUAGAAAUUUUGAAUACUACAAGCAAAGAUAUUCUUCUGAGCAUUAUGGCUGUGAAUCUAGAAAAGAUCCAAGAAGACAUAAUGCUUGGAGAAUGGAUGAUGAGAAACAUGGAGAGAAUAAAACAAGGAUUCCCCAUCGUGGAUAUUUCUAUCAUAGAUCUUAUGAACAUAGAUCACCUUCCCCAGACAUAAGAAAUUCUUUCGAUGAUGCUUACAUGUAUAAGCCUCACCAAGUAUACUCGCCUGGAAGAGGGAAUGGCAGCAGAAGAUUUCAGUAUAUGCCCACAUACUCAGAGGAUACACCCUACCUAGAGUAUGAGAGGGAUCCUUAUCCCCAUAAAAUGCAAGGGAGGUAUAUUCCUGAUAACUACAGAGAGAGAGGAAGGAAACCACCUCAGAGGUCAAUGGAAGAUUCCUUUACAUUUGAAGGAAAGUGGCAUGAUGAUGAGUUCAGACACCAGCGGAUACAAGAAGAAAAAUAUUCCCAGUUACCUAGAAGAGGCCAAGAAGACUUUGAAACAAGGAGCUCUUUUCAGAAGAGGUAUCCUGAGGAUCGUGAUUUCAGAAAAUAUGGACACACAUCAAAAAGAACUAAGGAUGUGGAGAGAUACAAAGAUAGAGAGCCUGCCAAGAACCCAAAGUGGAAACCUGAGCAUUCUUUUCCAUCUUAUCAAGAGAAGAAGAAUGAGCGGGACUUCGGACACCAAGCUUACCGAUACACUGAGAGGGAAUACCCAGAGAGCAGUUCAGCAACCAAAGUAUCCUAUGACUAUCGCCACAAGCAUAAGCUCUCGGAUGAUGACCAGGACUUUGCUGAUGGGAGAACUCAGAAAUACUUGAAAGAAGAUAAAAAAUAUUCUCCAAAAGGCCCUGUAAAUAAAGAGUCAGAAUGUACUAAUGCUGGAAGAGGGAAAGAGACUGAAGGUGGGCUAGUCAAGGAUCCUGUUAAACCACCUAAGAAAGACCACAUUCCCUGUGCUCAUUCAAGUAAAAAUGAAGUUAAUUUGAAGCCCUGUAAUGACAAGUGGAAGAAAAAAAGGAAGAAAGAAGAAGACUGCAAAAAAGUGAACAACUCUUCCAGUAACCUACCGGAUACAAGUGAGAACCUUUCCAAUGUGAAACCCUCACCUGUCAGUCUUGGGAAGAAAUCACUUACAAUUAAAGUAGAUGUGAAGAAAAAUGUAGAUCCACCCAGGGUUUCAUCUAGCUAUUCUGAAGAGAGACAGAUAUCACAUGAUUUGGUUGCUGCUGGCAGGAAAAUUGAGAACUUUCAUCCAGUGUUUGAACAUCUCAAUUUAUCUCACAAUACUGAAAGCAAAUCUACUGGAGAAUUUGCUCAGGAAAUCAUAACAAUAAUUCAUCGAGUUAAAGCAAAUUAUUUUCCAUCACCUAACAUUACUCUACAUGAACGUUUCUCAAAACUGCGAGACACCCACAACACAGAUGUAAAAGAAAGUCAAUUGAAUUCAGAUCCAGAAAUUCACAGGAGAAUAGAUAUGUCUUUGGCAGAGCUUCAUAAUAAACAAACUACGCAAUAUGAAUCAGAUCAGACUCUGGUCAAAGUAAUAGAUCCAAAUGACCUACGUCAUGACAUUGAGAGGAGGAGAAAAGAGCGGUUACAGAGUGAAGAUGAGCACAUUUUUCAUGUAGCUAGUGCUACAGAGAGGAAUGAUCAGCAUUCCAGUUUUUCAAAGAAUUAUAUGAUGCAGAGAAAAGAUGCUACUACUCAGAAAUUGUCUGGAGUUGAGAGAAACCAGCAAGUCUUUAAAAGAGCUUUUAAGAGUUACUUUAGAGGUGGCAGAUUCCAGCCCCAGUAUAAAUCAGACCUGGUACAGAAGAGCUUAUACAUUCAGGCUAAAUAUCAGCGUUUACGAUUUGCUGGUCCAAGGGGAUUUAUCACUAAUAAAUUCAGAGACAGGUCACCAAGGAAAGAAAAGAUUGCAUAUACAGUGAGUUCAUGUGGUAAUUUUCUUUCUGUGCCUGGCUUAUUUCACAUUAAAUAAUGGCUUCCAGGUGUAUCCACAUUAUCACAAAGUUUUAAUAAUGUAAGACCCUAAGAAAAGGAUUAUACAAACGUUGCCACAGAAACCUAAUCUGGAAUUGUUGCAAAUGGAAAUACCACUACAGGAGAAUAUUUGGGAGCAUCUCUUUUUGUCAGGAGUUAGAGUUGGCACUAAGGCACUAAUACUGUAACUUUCUUGAUAAAAUAACUUUAUUUUUCAGUAGUGGAAUGUUGUAACUUUUUUACAUUUAACAGUUGCUUUUAAAUUACAGUAUUCAAUUUAAAGGUUGUAUUAACUACCGUUUUUGGGGGGUUUUUUUUGCAAAAAGUUUGAAUAGAAUGAAUUGCAGGGCAUUGUUUGUCGAUGAAUUUUUCUCUGAGCAUGGUUUCAUCUAAAGAACUUAAGCAAAUUAUGUCCAGACAUUUAUAUGUUCAAAGUUUUGUUUAUGUAAAAAAAAAGUAUCUGAAUUGUAUAGUGUCUGUACAUGAAAGAACUUUAAACAGUGGCCUUACAGUAGUAAUUUUUAUACCAAGCUUUUCUUUUUCUGAUAACAUUUUGGCUUAUAACUUGAAGUUUUCUUAAGUUUCUGAAGAUCAAGGCCUAUACAAUUCAUACAUUUCAUAUUAUAAUAAGGCUAGAGAAAAGGUGCUUCAAAUUUUCCAUCAGGUAGUUGUGAAUGCACUGAAUUUUUAGUAAUAUGUUCAUUCAGUUUUUUCCCACAACUAUUUGCUCUUUUCCAGUUUCCAAAUGCUGUUGUGGAAAUAUGUAAAGAUUUUAUAACCUAUAUUCCAUCUUACUUUUCCCUCAGGGCAAGCUUGUCAUAUAUUUUUAAAGGCUUUUAAACAGUCUGACAGACAAUAUCUCAUAUUUGAAAAUUGUACUUUACUACUACAGCAUUACACAUUUUGCAAGCACAUCUUAUAGACUGUUUAUUUUCAGUUCAGUUGAUAUGUACUGUGUACCUACUAUGUGUAAGAUGAAAUUGGUGGAAUUUUAAAUAAAACUUUUAGGUCCCAGUACCUUAUUUCAUUAUGUCUUCUGUGUCUUACUUAACAGUACAUAUACA